CUAGGUACCACAAAGUCAACAAACAGACGCCUGAAAUUGCGCAAACCAUUUUGGGACGAUGAUUUACAAAGUCUUUGGGAUAUUAUGAGAAAUAAAGAAGUAGUUUUCCUUCAAUGUAAAGAUAGUAGACAGAGACGCUUAAAGCUUCGACACGAGUAUGUUUUGUCUAGAAAUGAAUUUGAUAAACUGCUACGCAGGACGGAACGAUACUAUAAACGAAUCACUGCAAUUGACAUUGAGGAAAUGACAACCAAAAAUCCGAACGAAUUCUGGAAAAGAUACAAAAUCUAGGACCCAGAAAAGACAAUUCCAACCCAAUCGAAAUCGUUGACGAAAGGGGAAAUAUCUCGCACGAAGAGAACAUUGUUUUCGAGAAGUGGAAGAAUGACUUUUACAACUUGUAUAACUGCAAUGAGCACAAUGAUUUUGACGAUGAGCAUUUUGACAGAGCGAAAUUACAUAAGGUGUUAUUAGAAAACAAUAUGUCAGACCCAUUGUACGAACCUAACGCUGAGCUAAAUUCAAAUGUGACUAUCGAGGAAGUGGCUUUAAUAGUGCAGAGAUCGAAAAGUGGGUCAGCUUGCGGCAUUCGCCUUAUUCCAGAAGCCCAUAAUGCUUUGCGACAAAGGUGACUUCCGGUUUUUUUCCGCAUUCAAUUUCCUAGUUAUCGAUACGAGUGAAAGGAAGAGCAUAAUUGGCAAAAUAGAUCGAUAGAGAUGUACAUUCUGGAUGUUUGAUUCCGCCAAGUUGAUGCUCAACAGGAGUAGGCAGUUGAUACCAUUGAUCUGAUAGCACCUGCUAUAUCAGUGGUUUUACAAGAAAAAUUUGUGCAAAACACAAGAGACGGAAUCGGUUCAAGAACAGAGAUAAAAUAAAUGAAGUGUGUCAAUAUAAAUGAAAACUUUCCUUGACUGCAAGGACUAAAGAAAUGCACACAAGUGACAUAAAUUUAAAUGUUUGGUACAAAAAGUAGACAUUUAGAACUUAAAAUUAUGACACAGGAUGUGAAACAACACUUUAUAGCCGAUAACAGUCGAACAAGAGAUUUUUCAAAAAGAAGCAAGAUGUGGUUUUUUAACCCUUGGCAACUGAACCUUUAAAGGGAUUAUUGCAUACCAAGGACAAUUUAUUGUUAUUGAAUUAUAUCAUGUUUAAUGUUAUUAUUAAAUUGUAAAAAAUACCGUUGUUAUUAAUAUGAUUGUCUAUGAUCUUUUUAUUCCAAUGACUGUGUAAACUCCCAUGGUUAAUAUUAAAAAGACAUAAAAUCGA